rnacentral:lncRNA from 1 species
AUGCUCGAUGCAGAGGGUGAUUGAUCUCACAAUCACUUGUGUGGAGACACUAAUACAAAGAUGUGGAUGCUCAUUAGAGAAAUGAGUUCACUGAAUUGACCUACAAAGAGAAAUCUUAUGAAGUCUUACUUACAUAUCAAAAGAUGAUUCUCUUAGUGGGAGUUGUGCAACUGAUCCUUUGACCUGAGAUCACCAUAGUAUCUUGUGCACAUAAAUUCAUAUUUUGGUUUCCACUCAUUCAUGACAAUAAGUUAUGU